rnacentral:rRNA from 1 species
UGGCGGACGGGUGAGUAAUGUCUGGGAAACUGCCUGAUGGGGGGGGAUAACUACUGGAAACGGUAGCUAAUACCGCAUAACGUCGCAAGACCAAAGAGGGGGACCUUCGGGCCUCUUGCCAUCGGAUGUGCCCAGAUGGGAUUAGCUAGUAGGUGGGGUAAAGGCUCACCUAGGCGACGAUCCCUAGCUGGUCUGAGAGGAUGACCAGCCACACUGGAACUGAGACACGGUCCAG